rnacentral:rRNA from 1 species
GCUCUCUGAUUCAGCGGCGGACGGGUGAGUAAUGCCUAGGAAUCUGCCUGGUAGUGGGGGACAACGUCUCGAAAGGGACGCUAAUACCGCAUACGUCCUACGGGAGAAAGCAGGGGACCUUCGGGCCUUGCGCUAUCAGAUGAGCCUAGGUCGGAUUAGCUAGUUGGUGAGGUAAUGGCUCACCAAGGCGACGAUCCGUAACUGGUCUGAGAGGAUGAUCAGUCACACUGGAACUGAGACACGGUCCAGACUCCUACGGGAGGCAGCAGUGGGGAAUAUUGGACAAUGGGCGAAAGCCUGAUCCAGCCAUGCCGCGUGUGUGAAGAAGGUCUUCGGAUUGUAAAGCACUUUAAGUUGGGAGGAAGGGCAGUAACUUAAUACGUUGCUGUUUUGACGUUACCGACAGAAUAAGCACCGGCUAACUCUGUGCCAGCAGCCGCGGUAAUACAGAGGGUGCAAGCGUUAAUCGGAAUUACUGGGCGUAAAGCGCGCGUAGGUGGUUUGUUAAGUUGGAUGUGAAAGCCCCGGGCUCAACCUGGGAACUGCAUUCAAAACUGACAAGCUAGAGUAUGGUAGAGGGUGGUGGAAUUUCCUGUGUAGC